UCCGAUUUAACAUCGGCAGUCUCCCUAGAGUCCCCAACUUAAUGGUGGUAACUAAGGACAGGGGUUGCGCUCGUUGCCGGACUUAACCGAACAUUUCACAACACGAGCUGACGACAGCCAUGCAGCACCUGUCUCCGUGUCCCCGAAGGGAAAACCACAUCUCUGUGGCGGUCACGGGAUGUCAAGGCCAGGUAAGGUUCUGCGCGUUGCUUCGAAUUAAACCACAUACUCCACCGCUUGUGCGGGCCCCCGUCAAUUCCUUUGAGUUUUAGCCUUGCGACCGUACUCCCCAGGCGGGAUACUUAAUGCGUGUGCUUUGGCACUCAGAGGGUUAACUCUCCGAACGCCUAGUAUCCAUCGUUUACGGCUAGGACUAC
rnacentral:misc_RNA from 1 species